rnacentral:rRNA from 1 species
CCUACGGGUGGCAGCAGUGGGGAAUAUUGGGCAAUGGGGGAAACCCUGAAGCAGCAACGCCGCGUGGAGGAUGAAGGUUUUCGGAUUGUAAACUCCUUUUGGUAGAGAAGAAAAUGACGGUAUCUAACGAAUAAGCACCGGCUAACUCCGUGCCAGCAGCCGCGGUAAUACGUAGGGUGCAAGCGUUACUCGGAAUAACUGGGCGUAAAGAGUGCGUAGGCGGGAUAGCAAGUCAGAUGUGAAAUGCUAUGGCUUAACCAUAGAACUGCAUUUGAAACUGUUAUUCUAGAGUAUGGGAGAGGUAAGUGGAAUUCUUAGUGUAGGGGUGAAAUCCGUAGAGAUUAAGAGGAAUACUCAUUGCGAAGGCGACCUGCUAGAACAUAACUGACGCUGAUGCGCGAAAGCGUGGGGAGCAAACAGGAUUAGAUACCCCAGUAGUC